rnacentral:SRP_RNA from 1 species
CCGUGCUAGAUGGGGAGGUAGCGGUGCCCUGUAACCUGCAACCCGCUAUAGCAGGAUCGAAGCCCAGUUGCGGCGUCUAUAUCUUAGGGUCUGCCCUAAAUAAGCGGUGUUGACGAAUGGGUCCUGCGCAACGGGAAUCUAUGAACCCCGUCAGGUCCGGGAGGAAGCAGCGGUAAGUAGACACUUCCGUGUGCCGUAGGGGUGCCUGUUCUGAGCUGGCUGUUUAGGUACCGCUUAGGAGUAGGCGACAAGGCUGGGUGCACGG